CGGCUCUGGUUGUUAGUAACACACCAUUGCCUCCAAAAAUUGAACAGGUAAUUGGAAAAAGACUACAUGCUCCUCAGUUACAGCUUUGCGAGCGAAAAAUAAAUAUGUAGUGUU
rnacentral:snRNA from 1 species